GAAAGAAAAGCCUCCUGGUUUGGAGCUCAUAAUCAAGUCAGCCUUGCUGCAGGGCUCAUUUUAAGCCAGUAUCCUGGACCAGAUGCCAUUAAGAAUAUUUAAUUCAUGGGAGGAGGUCAAAAUAUCAACAUUAGCUGGAUUUUGGAAAAAGUGGAUUCCAACCCUCAGUGGACGACUUUGUGGAAUUCAAGACUCCAAUAGAGGAAGUCACCACAAAUAGCAAAAGAACAAGAAUUACCUGUGCAGCCUGAAGACGGGACUGAAUUGCUGCAAUUGUAACAUCAAAU
rnacentral:lncRNA from 1 species